AAUCAGCCAUGUCAUACCCCUGCCAAACUCCUCUGGUGACCUGAACUGCAUUAAAAAAAAAUCCAACCUCUAGUUUGUUAUCUACAAAGCCAUACAUAAUCAGGUUAUACUUUAUUAUUCAAUCAUAUCUUGCCACUUAUUGCCCCAUAUUGCUCUAUACCACUUUCUGUUAUUUAACCACACCAAGUAGAUACCAAGAAUAUCCAUUCUGUUCACUUCUGGAGAAGAUGACUUUUGUGUGUAUUAUACACAUGUCUUUCCUUCUGAAUAUUUCUGAAUAAUGAUCCAUGCCUCAAACAAGAUCAACUCCAGAGGGUAUACAAUCAUGUGAUAAGCUUUGAAAUAUACUUGGAAACAGAGACUCAUGUCAUACUUUAAGAACAAGAAAAGCACAAUGUCAUCCAUGUCUUUGAAUAAUUUGGUUUCUCAUCUAUAAAAUGAAUAAAUGAUUUCUAAAAGGCCUUUCCAACUUUGAGUCCAUGAUUCAAAUUCAUUUUUGAGGGAUAAUAAUGUUUAUCUCUCCUUACUGACUAAUUCUGGAAAAUAUGGAACUAGAGGAUAACAUUUUACUGUGAAUUAAUUCUACAGGUCAUUUAUUUUUAAUGAGUUGACUGAGAAAACCACAGUGCUUUGCAUUUAACCUCCCAACUGUAAUGGGGCUCAACCUAUCAGUAUUCUCCGUCUUUAGGGCAACUUCAAGGCUCAGAGGAAUCAAUAAUGAAGAGCUUAUUAGAAACUAAUCUUCUCCUUGGGAGUGAAAAUAGUUAUGCUAGUUGGGGAGAGUGAAUUUUUUGAAUGCUUAACAAUUUCUUCACAGAUAUAAAGUCUCUUUUUCGUGAUCUGGUUGGUACCUAUUAUGGGGCUAUGAACUUUAAAUGAUUUUGCUUGCAUCACCAUUUAUGAAUUUAUUUUUCUCUCAUAGACACUUGAUUAACCUUAGGCAGUCCUGUGCAUCACAGCCUUCUGCAAUACCUGCCAGAUCAUCUACAGAAGCUUGUGGUGGCAUAAAAAUACAGGAAAGACAUCACCUUCUCUAUGGAGUUUGUCUGCUGUCAGAAACUAUAACAUGUAAGUGAUAAAGUAAGUGAACAUUAUAAAUCAUUGUUUUGAGUACUUUUUUAGACAAAUAACCCCCUCAGUAGUACAAUAUAUAUUUUCCUUCCUAUACUUCCUAUACUUUUCCUGUUCUUCAGAAUACAGUUUCUCCUUCACUAUCUUUGUGGACUUUUCGACCCUUUCCCUAUUUAUUUUUCUUUUUUGCACCAUUAGAUACAUUCCUGGUUAGUGUUCUCUCUUCUUUUUAAUUUAUUUUUUAAAAUAAAAAAUUCAUUAAUUUCUUCUUCCUCCAUGCUAGUUACUCCAAUCUGGCAUCAGCUUCAAUAUGUUCUCUUGUCAUCAAAUCACAGAGCACAGAGCCUUAGAAAUCAUUCAAUCCAACUAUGCCUUUAUUUUAAGUAUCUUUCAAUACUCUUAAGGUUCACUCUCCUAUUCAGCCUUCUCCUUCAAGAGACACAACUGUCUACCCACAGACAUUUCUAGUUUCUCAUAAAUUCUUCCCCAUGUUGAGUCCAAGUCUUUUGGCCUGCCAGUUAUAGCCAACGCUCCUAAUCUGGCUAUCUGGAGCCACAUGGGGCCAGUCUAAUUCCUCUG
rnacentral:lncRNA from 1 species